UGAUGCCAUAUUAAAAUGAUUUAUUUCGUAGCAAAUUAACCAUUCAUCUGAUUUCAAAAUGUCAUACAUGAAAAAUGAUUAGAAUUUUGUGUAGUUUCAUAAUAUCCAAUUUUCAGCCAUGAUAAAAAUGUUUAAACUUGCUAUUUAAUUAAAUUUGCAUACAUCUCAUGUUAAAAUGAUUUAUUCAUAAUUAGUUAAUCAUAGCUUCGAUUAAAAUGUUUCAUAUAUGUAAAUUGGCUAAAAAAUGUGUAGAACAACAUGAUGACAUUUUUUUCCUAUUUAACGAAUAUAAAAUUGUGUUGUAGGUAGAAUAGUGCCGAAUCAUAAUUUGCAUGUGGGGGAAUUUCCGGAAUUGUUACUCAUUGUGCUGGCCUCAUUUAAACUUGUCUAGAUUUUCAUGUAGUUCAUAAUAUCUUGUGCAUCCAUGUUUUAACAUGCUUGUGGUUGUCAUUUGCAUACAUUUUGUAUUCAUGACAUUUUAUUUAUGUUGGCCAUAUCUUUUAGACCGUGGUUCCGUUUCAAAUGAUCUAUAUAUGUAAAUCGACUAGAAUGAUGUGUAUAAUCACAUGGUCCACUUUAUUUUUUACUUAAAAAUAUAAAAUGUGUUUAGCACAGAUCUNN
rnacentral:lncRNA from 1 species